rnacentral:rRNA from 1 species
AUGAUCUACCUACUCGAAAUGAAUGGGAUUUACGGCAUAGUAAGAACUAAAAAAGUGAGCUUCUUCUGCCUCCUCCCCUUUCCCCUCCCCUUCCCGUGGUCUUAUUGUUUCUCUCCCCACUCCGUCCAGCCGCCGAGAGGAACAAUCCGCUUGAAUCCUCCCUCGCUGGUAGUACUAGAGCACAAAUCCAGUCCAAUCCGAUGCACUACGAUCCAACCAACCACCAAAUCGAAGCUAACCACGCCGGCCGGAGGGGGAUCGAGGAGGAGGAGGCAAGAGUCGGAUCCGGCGAUCGACGGGCCACACGCCGGAGGUGCGGGGCGGAGCCGGAGCGCCGGAGGAGCCGCGGCCUCGGAGCAUCUCGGCGACUGGUUCUAG